UGUAGUGACUCUUAUUUUUGUGUUUGUUUAUUUGCUUUUCCUCUCUUUUUCCUUUUCCAUCUUGGUAUUUUUUUUUUGUGUGUGUCUUUUGUCUUUUUAGGGCCAUGCCCGCGGCAUAUGGAGGUUCCCAGGCUAGGGGUCCAAUCGGAGCUGUAGCCACUGGCCUACACCACAGCCACAGCAUUGCAGGAUCCAAGACACAUUUGCAACCUACACCACAGCUCAUGGCAACACCAAAUCCUUAACCCACUGAGCAAGGCCAGGGAUUGAACCUAAAACCUCGUGGUUCCUAGUCAGAGUCGUUUCCGCUGCACCACGACAGGAACUCCCAUUUUUGUAUUUUGGAUAAAAUAGUAUAAACACAACAGUAACUACCGACUAUCAAAGUCACAAAUAACUGAUAGGAAAAAUGUCAAUUUAUGAUCUGCUCUAUUCAAGACAUUGGAUUCAGCUAAUGGAGUUAUAAAGAUGAUAACAUAAGAUUCUGGAUCAUAUUAUAUAUAUGUUGAUAUAUAAAAGCAACUGAAGCCAUUCUUUAUAAUAAACUACUGGACAAAAAAAAAAAUUAGAGAGAUAGGAGACCCAAACCCACCUAUUUCCUAAUUCUGUGUCCCUUGUUCAGGAUGCACCCCUUGUAAUUACCUUGCACCUUGCCCUUGGCAUGUGUGCCCUAGACAACCAAGAGUGGUUGUAAAAUUUUAUAUUCUUCUUAUGAAAAUCAAUUGUAACAUAGGUUAGAGGUUUUACCCAUGUUUUGAUGGUUCAAAAGCCUCUUUUCACAAGGGGAACUUUCCUAAGUAAAGUAAUCAAAGCACAUGAUUUGAUAAUUGAUGCACAGGGAAGUGCUUUAAUGAAUUAUUGAAGCACUUGGCUCAGGUGUGCAUCUCCCAGGGACAGAAUACAGCAUGACUGCUUAGCAAUUAGACCGUCAACGUUCCUUACCCAGUUGACCAGAAUUAAAAUAAUUUUAUUCUUGGUUUGAUAUUGGGAAUUGAAACUCACACCUCAGUUACUGGGUAAAAGGUUUUCAAGGCUAAUGGCAUGAGACAUGAGGGUUUUCAAACGGCAGCCUGCGUUCUUCCUCUGAAUACAGAGUGCCUCAAUUAUUCAUGUCUGAUUAAUGUUGUGUUUGACUAAUUGAUAAUGACUUUUCAAUUAGGGAAAGGCAUAUUUUAUUUAUUUAUUUAUUUAUUUGUUUUUUCUUUUUUUAAUUACUCAAUGAAUUUAUUACGUUAAUAGUUGUACAAUGAUCAUCACAAUCCAAUUUUAUAGGAUUUCCAACCCACAACCCCAGUGCAUCCCCCCACCUCCCAAACUGUCUCCUUUGGAGACCAUAAGUUUUUCAAAAUCUGUGAGUCAGUAUCUGUUCUGCAAGGAAGUUCAUUGUGUCCUUUUUUCAGAUUCCACAUGUCAGUGAUAGCAUUUGAUAUUGGUGUCUCAUUGUCUGACUGACUUCACUUAGCAUGAUAAUUUCUAGGUCCAUCCAUGUUACUAAGAAUGGCUGUAUUUUGUUCCUUUUAAUGGCUGAGUAAUAUUCCAUUGUGUAUAUUUACCACAUCCUCUUGAUCCACUCCUCUGUUGAUGGACAAGGCAUAUUUUAUUUAGAAGUGAUAUUUAUUUACAUUGAUUUCUCUCCUCUUCAGGAGGCCAAUGUCUAGGCUUCUGGAUCCAAUCUGCUCUAACGGCUGCAGCUCAGAGGAAGCUUUUGCAAAGAAGUACUGAUGGGCUGGAAUGGACUCCUCCUGACCGUCCACGUGGCAGUGGUGACCAGAGAUGCUGGGAGGGAGGAAGCUGUGCUCUCCCUCCGGCCUGAACAGGUGGCCCAUCCCCGGGGACAGUGGUUUCUCCUGGACAUGGGGGUUCUCUGGUGUCCACAGACAGCAGUAGCAGUCUCUCCAGAAUGAUGAAUGGUUAUAAUUUCCCCCUUAAAUUAUAGUUUUCCUACAAACUGUCAACCUGAGGCUUCCAGAGUAUUGAGAAAAGAAAAUAUUGGGCACUUUAAUGAGAAAAUUUGACCAACGGACAAAUUUGUGUAAGCUGGAUAUUAUAUAUGAGAUCAACUUGUAGUCUGCUUUUGUGCCAGGUAAACAGACUCUUCUUGUCAGCCCCGAAGAGCACCCUGACCUGGUGGCUAAUGCCCCUACACACCCACACCCACACCCACACACACACCACACCCCUCCUGCCAGAUAUAUAUACACACAUACACCACACAUACAUAUCCCCAGACACACACACACAUAUACACCAGAUACACACACACAACACACACACAUACACACCAGAGACACACUGCUCCCACACCAGAUACAUACACACACCCCACAUACAUACACACCACACACACAUAUACACCAGACACGCACCACACCACACCACACACUACACACACACACACAUACACACACAGGCCAUGUGUUCACGGGGCUGCUCUCCACCUGGCAGUGGUGACAGGGGCCCGAAUGGCUGUGAGCCAGGCUUGGAUGCAUCACUUGAGGCCUUGCCUAUCUCAGCUGCCUUGUGUGAGAAACCACAGGAGAUGUCUUUCUUGGUCACACAGACUGUUCUAGAUGGAUGGGCUCAGGAAACCAGAGGAGAUGAGACCUGAUGGGGACCCAGAGUCACGGCAGCCCCCCUGCUCUCCCGCUGGCUCUGCUCUGGCCUCUCCUCUGCCUGCACACCUGGGAACCUUCUCAGGGGGACAUGGCUGGGCCUGGCCACUUGAAGCGGAAGGUCCUGAACUGAGCACCCAGGGCCCUGAGUCCGUUGGAAGCACCUUUGCUGCAGCCCAUUUCCCUGGUUUCCUGGUUUUGAGCAACUGUCCUCACCAUCUACUCCUGGUUCCUUUGAGAACAUUCACCGAGGAGACCCCCUCAUGAGCAAUACCUUAGAAUUCCUGGGUGUAGCUUCUGCCCCUUACCUUGACCUGUGGCUUCAUUAAAGAAACUUGUUAGCAUUUCCUCAGAGGUAAAGUGGAUGUGAGAAUACGCAUGCAGCGGCUCACACAAGGGUCAGGAAGACCAAAAAGAAAGCACACACAAAAUGACUUUGUAAAGGGCACAUUGGCAAACCAGUGUCAGGCAUCACUAUUUUUUUGUUUUUGUUUUUGUUUUUUGGCUUUUUGACUUUUCUAGGGCUGCUCCCAUGGCAUAUGGAAAUUCCAAGGCUAGGGUUCGAAUCAGAUGCCAGAGCCAUCAGCAAUGUGGGAUCUGAGCCGCGUCUGCAACCUACACCACAGCUCACGGCAAUGGCGGAUCGUUAACCCACUAAGCAAGGCCAGGGAUCGAACCUGCAACCUCAUGGUUCCUAGUCAGAUUCGUUAAUCACUGCGCCACAAUGGAAACUCUGGGCAUCACUAUUAAUAACAGCAACAGUGUUCCGAAUACUCCUUUGGAGCAAUAGCAUGGCUUUUCACCUGGCAGUACCUGAAAAAAAAUCUUCUGUCAUCUUGGAGAAAGUACUGGUGGAAACGCCCAGGCCUCCUCUUACUUCCUGAUGCUAAGGGGGAUUUGCUUGGGGAACUCUGAGUCUGGAGGGUCAAGGGCCCCUUUAGAGGUGCAUUUGUGUGUGCACAUUUUAGUGUGAAUUGGUUUAAUACUUUUUUCAACAUCAAACAUCUAGUUUAGCAUUAUCACGUUAAAGGAACAGGAGUUUUCACAGAGGAGAAAUGGGGAACCCACACUGAAAGGACAUUGAGCAGGUGUUCAGGCCUCAGGGAGCAGGCACUGGGUGGGGGGGUCCUCAGGUACUUGGUAGGGUGGAGAGGGGGUGGGGGCAACAGGAAGGAAGAGAAGGAAAUGCCUACUCCACAUUCACGUCUCCAUGAAGGGCUGUUCUUUCCUCUCUGCUUGAAGAGACACGCUAAGAGAUAGUUUCUAUGGAGACAAGGCCCCAGAGAAAGUCCCACUCUGCCCCAUCUCCACCGUCCCCCAGCUUGGGAAGCACAGCUGCAGGAUGGGGCACAUUGACCUCUGGUGAGGCACCUGACCUGUCCUGGGCCUGUUUUGCAUCCUCGGAGGAGGCAGCCUCUGGGGACUGGUCCCAAGGUCAGCUGUGCUCCGUGAGGGUCAAGUCUUUGUAGAACCGUUUUUGAAUCUGGAGUCACACUCCUUUGCAAUUAGAGAGAAUGGUGCUCAUUUCAGCUUUGUCACUGCCCCAGGUGAUUGAAUCAGGGCUUGUUUCUGGUAGAGAAAAUAAAAAAGUGUUAAACCAGAAAGCCCUGUAGAGUCUCUAAAAGCUUUAGGAUGGAUAUUACUAGAUGCCAGUUGAGAAUAUUUUGGCAUCCAGCAAUACGGUGGAUGGAGGUUGGUUGGUGGAACUACUUUCAACCAGUACUUAAAAGCCCAGCUCAGCUCUGUGGAGACCUGGGAGUAAGUAGCUAACAUUCUACAAUUCCAGCAUAAUGUUCUCUCAAACAGGCAGAUAUUAGCCUUCUCAAUUUUCUUAGAGAUAAACAACUGUGUGUCUGAGGGCUGCCCUACUGUGGUGGAAGCUGGGGUCAGGCAGACCUCGGUGUGGAGGGCUGUCAGCUUUGCCGCUGCCUGUGUGACUCUGAGCAGUCACUUUGCUUCCCUGAGUCUCGGUUUUCUCACCCCUUCGAUGAAAUGAUACUAAUGAUCAGCUCAAGGACUGGGGUGAGGGUUAAAGUCAGUGAACAUAAGAAACAUCUCCAGGGCUGCAACUGACCGUUGGUGGAGGCUCAGCCAAUGACAGAAGCCAUGGUUGUAAUUAUGAGUAGUAACACUAUCUUUUCUGGGUUAUUCUUGUGGGUCCUUAGGUGUGGGAGGUGGGACACACUGGCCUUGCCUCUGAUGUGCACGUCCUCCCUCAGAAGCCAGCAGUUAGGAAAGACAACCUCCCAGCUCACCAUGGAAGUGUGUGUGCUCAGAACCGCACCUGUAUGCACUGGCCUUAGGACCUCUGCAAUCAUCAGGGUCCAGGGGAACACUCUUGUGUUUCAUGAAGGAGCCUGAGAACUAAGUGAUCUUCCAAGAUGACUAAUCAAGCGAGUGGCCAACCUGGGCUCUGGCCGUGCUUACAGCCAGUGACGGCUCCCUGCCUUUCUGCAGCAUGGCCAGAGUCUGCGGCUCCGCUCCUGUGUCCCAUCCCUUGCCCAUCAAGGCUUUUACACGCAGUUUCCUUUCGCUGGAAGUCACUGGUUCUCCCUUUCCCUUAACUCCCUCCACCACCUUUCUCUUUGGGGGCUGAUCUUUCAAGCCCAAGAUCUCACCCCCUCCAGCGUUCUCUGCCCCGUCCCUUUGGCAGAUUUAGUCAGAGCGGUUUGUACGAGCAUCCGCCUGAGGAAGGACCACCGAGCACAUGGGUAUUUGCUCGCGCCUCUGUCUUCAGCAGCAGACAGACAGGGAAGGCAGAGGCGAGGCUUCACUCAGCUGCCACCGCGCUGGUUCUAGACCCGAAUGCGGUGACCGCAGCCUCCCUUGCCCAUCCUGCUGCAGGGGCGCAAUUCGUACUGCAGAUCAGUUUUGUCUUCUCCCUCCAGUGCCAGCCGUUUAUCUCCACGAACCUCCUAAACUAUCCUAAAGAAUCGCUGGGGUCUAUCUUUUUUCUAUCCCCAUGUCCUUUCAGAAGAGCUCUGCUGGAAGAGAGACCAGGAAAGUCACUACAUCAGCUCACCUGUAAAUAAUGCCACGGUGUGGCGGCUUCAUAACUUUACGAUAAGGGUUUAAUUUGACCUUCAACUUGGCAUAUCUUGGACAUUCAGCCUGGACAUUAUUUAUCUUGAUUUGUAGGGUGCAUUACCAUUAAUAUAAGGGUCAAACCCUCUUUUUUAGACGCAAGGAUUUUGACUUUUUGUCAAUGCUUUCUUUGAAAAUAAUUUACCUUCCCUUCCAGCAGGUGGCAGUAUAACACAACAGUAACCUGAGCAAACAGGUUUGACUCAGGCUCAUUUUCACAUUAUCAACAGGAGUUUCAUCCUGGGUUAGAUUUUUACAGUAAUUCUAAAUUGAGCAGAUAGGGUCUUUGUAACGAUUUGAUCUAUUAACCAUCUUUUCUCCAAUAAUUCUCAUAUGUUUCCUCAGGUAGUAAAAUUUAAUCCUGGUUAUGUAAGAAUUCCUUUAUAGCUGGCUCUUGAAAAUACGAAACAAAAGAGGAUAUCUAGGAAAAAUUCUUAACUAUUUUAGUAUAUGCCUUAGUCUCAAUGAAAUUUUAAUUGUUAUAUUUAAUUCUCUAUAUUAUGUUAGUUGAGGUAAAAUUGUUUGGUCUAUUGGUAUGACUUCAGGUGAGAAAACAGUCUUGCUAUGGAAUUUACUUGAAUGUGUGUAAAUUCCAUAUAUGUGCAUAUUCAUUGGUGCAUGCAUCUUUCAAGAAGUUAUUUCAGCCUCCUAGAAUUACUGUUUAUUUUUUUUUAUUUUGACUCAGCACAGCUUACAGAAUUAGAUUUCUUUAGUUUCUCAGAUUUUGUUUAGGUUUCCAUAACUUCUAGGAGUUCUUUAAUAACAUUGGAAAAAUUUUCAUCAGACUAAGAUAAAUUAUAUGUCAGAGGAGCCAAGAAAUAGUUUUCAGGUUGCCUAGUAAAAAUUUUGGAUACCAAGAAGCAGAGAUUAGAAGUCAGAAAUUUAUUACUUAAAGGGUCUAUUACUAUUAGCCUCAAAUUCUAUCUGUUACUAUUAUUCUCCACUAUAAAGAGUAGCAAAUUGCUCAGUUAUGAUUAAUAAAUAGUCCUUAUUUAUAGUAUCUGAAUUCACUUGUAAAUAUGCAUUUAGUUAUUGCUAGUGCAUUUUCUCAUUCUAGAGGCCAGAAAAGUCUUCCUACUGUGGGUCCCAGCCCCUGUGCACCCGUUCACUGUUUUAAAAAAUAUUUUGACUUCAUUUCUCAUGGUGCUGAUGGGAAAGUAGGGCAGAGUUACCAGAGCCUCAGGAGUGAUGUGGUCCCAAGGGUUGGGUGCAAGGAAAGGCUGUCCCUGCAAAUAUCGACUCUUCUCUCCUUUCUUCACCCAACAAAUGGUCAUCUAGCGCCUCCUGUCAGCAGUCACCAUGAGAAGCUGAAAGGCUGCCUGCCUACUGUCCUUGAGGAUGAAACCUGUCUCUCUCCCGUCGCUUUUCUCUGCACCUAAGGCUGAAUUGAGAUGGGUGUGCAGGUCUUGCCUUCAUCUCUCUCACUUUGUGCCUUUUUUCUCCUAGGUCCCAUGUCACGCACGUGUAGAGGGAUGGCCACAGGAAGACUUGUAGGGGGCCCGUGUGCAGACGGAGGGCUGGGAUAAGGCGUCUCCAAGCCAAGAAGGGCUGCAGGCUGGUGGCUGGGAGCGUGGGCCUGGCAGGUGGCCAGAGGACGGCUAUUUUUGUGGAUGGACUAGGACGGGACAUUGGCCUGUGGGGGCCAUGACUGCAGAGCUUUCAGGAGGAAUUCUAGAGGCAGACCUGGGCUCCCUGGUGAUGUGAAGGUCCAGCAUCAUCAUGGGACCAUCAGACCCACCAAGUUCCCCAUGCAGUCUCCACCACAAACACUCAAGGCCUUGUAUGAACAGCACAUGUAGGAUUUGGUCUUCUUAACGGGACUUCAUAUCUGUGUGUGUUCCCCAAGUGUGUGACACGGCCCACCCUCCAGUUCUGAGAUCAUGAUCCCUGUCGAGUCCACUGGCUCCCUGUCCUUCCCUCCACUGGCCAUUGGGUGGCUCCCUCACUAACACUGCUCCUGUCGGGUUCGAGCGGGCAUCUGGAACCUGGACAGCCCUAGACUCACAGCAUCUCAGUGCUUGUUAGAAAUGGACAGAACAUGAACAUCGUCACCUUAUUAAGAACCAGCCUCUGUGAAAGAUGUUCCCUCCUGGAUUGCGGCUUUCCAAAUGACUUUAAUUAUCAUUCAUAAUGUAAGGGAUUCCAGGAAGGCCGUCUGCUACCAGAUGGAUUUUCCUAGAACAUGCUUUUAUUAGCUCUCCUCCAUCUACGUGGGGAAUAAAGGCCUUCUGAAGUCUGGUCUUGACCACAA